rnacentral:lncRNA from 1 species
GUUAGGUCACGUGCCGUGUGGCCAGUGUGCGAUGCGUGCGAAGAAUCCCAUCACGAAUCUUACGCCUGUGAAUGAGUAACCUUGAGUUUUCCAGAAAGCAACUUGCCUCGGGCAGUUGCGUAACAACUACAGUGCAGUGAAAAGAGGGCACGAGCGUAGUGUCCAGUGGCCGUAGAGUCAAGCUUCAGCGGUAAGCGCGGGUUUUUGUUUAGACGGGCAUCCAGGAAAUGUAGCCACCGCAUCUUAUCAAGACCUACAUGUGACCGACGAAGUACAACGUUCUGCGAGCACGGGGCGUCGGCCUUUCUCGUAACUGAACGUCAAGUUGACAUGCGAGAGGCCUGAGGAGCGCACUCUUCUCAGCCGCUAUGACAACCGGCGCCACCUGGAAUGAGCCAGAGAGGAGGAACCCGCAGAGGGUGCACGGUGGUGUGUAGAUGUUUGCCCGGUUGCCCCAGCGGCGCUUGCACUUGGCACUGGUGUGCCUUGGUGUCGUCGUGAUCCUGUUCCUGACACAAGAGGUUGUGCGCCGCUACCACGAGUAUCAGAAGUUCUACCGCUUCCAAGAUUACGCCUCGCGGGUUGAAGGCUUGAGGAAAGAGAUGUCAAUGCUCGAGGCAAGCGCCGGGCAGCUGGAAAACCGGACGGCCAGUGUCAAGCACGAUUUGCUCAUCGGCCGCAAGCGGCCCCGCUACAAGGACACCUCAAGACUGGCCAUUCACUAGCAGCCACAGCUCAAAGUGGUGCGGGUGAAAUGUAAUGUGCACAUGGUAGAACAAAGGGCGUGGAACAAGAGGCAUGACACAAGUAGCAAAUUCAACAUGCACAAUGUGUUCAUCUCGUGUCUGCUGCUCGAUCUUCCCGUGCCACGAUGCCAAUCCCUGGAGCGUCGGCAACAAGCUGUGAACAUUCUGAAAUGUAGGAUUUGACAAGCCUGUGGUCUAGCAUUGCUUAUUGUCUUUUUUUUUAGGCGUUUGUUUGCCAUUGUGAACUUAGCUUUAAAAGUGCAAUUCUACAGCCAAGGAGUUGGACGAAUGUGCAGUGUGGAAUGUCAGCACCAGGUCUCUGAGAAUUUCUAAGUCAAACAUUAACAAAUAUUACCCAUGCUUUUGUUUCGUUUGUAAUGUUUUUUGAUUGAUUCAUCGCCGUUUACUUGUAAUUUACAUGAGCUCUUAGUUGUCUCAGAGGCAUGCUCAACCACUCCGCAAGGAGCAGUGAACCAUAACUUCACGAACAGGCAGGUUAAGCCUGCAGAGCUGUUACAGUGCAACGCAAGUUUCUCAAAUGCUUAAGCCAUUGGUAUAUUUGCUACCUUUGCUUCUUGUGCGAUAGUGUCGUUAAAGCUUAUGAAAACAAGUUUGUGAACAAUCUAGCAGUUGCCAAGGUGCCUGUGCCUGAGAGGCCUGCGCGCAAGGCCACCCUUAGCCAUGCCAGAACAAAUGUAAGCUUGAAAGAAAAGUUUUUCAUGGUGCAAACUUAGCAGCAACAACAACAGCUGUUAUGAACUCUCUUGCAAGAUGAUGUGUGUUCCUGUACUGAUUUCGGGGACACCAAAGCCAAUGCCUUACACUAAGAGUAGAUCAGAUUUUAUUACGUGUAGUAGCGAACAUGUAGUGGGAACUUCAGCCAGUCCUUGGCGAAUUGUGGCUUUCUUGCUAUGUAGGUGUUGAAGACAUGUGAAAUUAAAUCGAGAGCCCUUUGGCUGCCACACUGAGGUCAGUUUCAAGUUUACUGAACAUGGUCAAUGUCUCUUGUGUGAGAUGUUUAAGAUAAGAAGUGGACUUGCGAUAAUUCAAAUAGAGAGUAUUCGAAGUUCUGGUUGUUUCAAGCAGAUCAAAAAAAUUUUGGCUGUCUUUGGUGAAUUGUGUAGCUGGGUCACACUUUUUGGAUUCAUAAUGCAAUGCAACUUUGGCAAAAAAGGCUGAUAAGAGAGCAUUCAUGAGGCAUGAAUAAUCGAAACGUACCUGCAUUUGAUGGCUGCUUUGUGUGGUUGCCGAACAACAAGUAUGGUGGGGUUAAAAAAAUUGCAAUGCCGUGCUUGUACAACUUUUGUAUCGCAGAAUGUUUGCAGCGUUGUUUACAGGCGUGUUUAUGAGCACCACUAUAAGAUGGCACCACUGAGAUGGUGGUGUCUUUUGGACAGCAUUUUUGACAGUUUGAUAAUUCAAAACAAAAACUGAGUCUCUAGGUACUUGAGUUCUGCCAGUUGACUGUGUCAUGUCUUUUUGUUCAAUGUCGUUGACGAGUGUCCGUUCUCUCCUUGCCAAUGUUGCACAAGCAGGUCUUAUGCAUUUUUCUCACUACUGGCGUGCUGUCGAAUAUCCGCACAGUUGCAUGACUUCGGCUCAUUUUGUCUUUGUAACAACCAGCGUGGCAUUAUCACUCAAGAGCAGUGUUGUCACUCACAAUCUGCCCUGUAUAGUUGGUCUAUGUGCUAUUUAUGAUACCAGCGAAUUAAGGUUUACCAUAUUUACAACCUGCAUCAGGUGAUGGUAUGCUGAUUGAUGUGGAUGCUGUGUACGUUGUGUAUGUUGGAUGGCCUGUCAUAGUUUAUCACAGCAAGUUAUAUGUGGCCUUUUUUCCGCGGUUUGAAACAUUCCAUCACUAAUGUUAAGAACUGCUAGACUGUUGAGCCGUUGAAAGAUGAGUUGGAGAUUAGCAGUUCAUUCUGAAGGCAGGUUUCAUAUUGCAGCUCACAUGUAAAGUCGGGGUUGACAAUUAAUAGACUUUUGUUUAUCACCUUUCCUGUUGGUUGGGUGGCAGAGAUAAAAUAUCUGUGUUAUGGGAAGAUAGCUUCUGUUCUAUAAAUCAGUUGUGGUGUCAAUUGUGAAUCGCCCGGUGUUUCUGGAAGAAUCCCAAAUAUAGUGUAAACAAAUAGCGCUUCUCUAUGGUUGGCAUUCAGUAACACUGUUCUAUUAGUUUUCAUGUUGUCAUUGAUGGCUUUUGUAUACUAUCGCCAGACAUGAAUAGGGAUGGAAACCUUUGGCACUGUAGAAUGUUCAAGUGUUGUCAGUGCUAUGACAGGUAGUUGGCCUUCUUGCAAAAGAAAGACAAAUGCAAAUAUGAAACAACUGAGUGUGAAGGUUUUGUUGCGGCUAUGCUCUGGAUAGGGUACACUGUUGUUCCAGUUCACAGUAUUGUAAAACAAGUUAUGUGCAAUAGCUUACUUGUAAGUGUGUGAGAUGUGGAACUUAGUGCAAAGUUGUGUCAGGGCCCUUGAAUUCGUUUGUUGGUCACCGUCCAUAUGAAAGUAUAGUGCGCAGAUGUGUGGAUGCAACUCAAUAAGGUAUUCGUAAAUUAAUCUUAAGGAAGAUGUAAAAUAAGGAACACAUUUCGUUGAUGACCGCAAAUGGUGGCACAAUUAUUUCAAUUCAAUGUCAGUGUUUCAGUUGACUUGCCGUACGUAGUGACUGUUGUGGCAACAGCACAUCUUGAGCACUCGUCAAAUCUUUUAGAAACAUGUCUGUUAUGGUGGAUAUAUCUUCUCUUGUAGCUGGCAAAGCCUCUUGUAAUCUGCUGCUAAAGGUGUCAUGAAGAUUGUGCGUGCCAUUGACCCUAGUAGAUUGGCAUGUACAGUUGAAGAACACGGAUCUUUAAAUCCCAAAGCACAGUAUAACUUAUGCUUUCUCUUGUGAGUGAUAACUGGUCGGAUAAUUGAAAAGCCAGAAGCUUCACCAUUGAAUUGAGGGUACAGAGUUGCAUAGCUUUUGUAGAAGUUUCGUGAGAAGUUGAAAAGUAUCGAAGGACUCCAUUUGUAUUAAAUGUCAUGCUAACUGCUUAUCAAAUGGCUUCAAACCAACUUCUGUGCUGGUGUCUUGUGGUAGCAUCUGUGGAUCUUAAGAACAACACAAAGUACCAUUCUGUUGCUGUGCGCAAUUCAUGCUGAAAUACUAGCUUUCAGGCAAAGAAUUCUUCAGACUAAGAUUCGAGAUUAUCGAUAAACUGUAUUUUAUGCCAUGGGUCUGACUACUAGCUUACCACUGUGGUUCUUAGUAAAUCUUAAUGGGCACUUUUCACCAAUUUCAAAGUGAAACUGAACCUCUCACUUUAUGCACAAGGCUGUUUGCUCCGAGAUGGAACAAGCAAUCAUUACUUGACAGCUCUUAGCAACCCAAGUUUGAAAUGGCCCACAGAGUAACUUUUCCAUCACAUUACAUGGUUUUAUGGGUCACACUUUUUUCUUAUAUUGUAGGAUAAAUAAAUGUCCAACUGUACUGGAUCGAGUACUGAUUAGGUCUUUUCCACAAGAGUAGAUGUUCAUGUACUGUCACGCUGGAAUGAAGUGCGAACAUAAAACAAACAAGGAGGCAAGGUUCCCUUUUCACAUCUGCCACUGUGUAUGAAGCUGGGGAGGUUCAUUUACAGAGGCUUACUUGAGGCCAGACCGUUCUUAGCACCCGGCUAUGCCAGGAUCACGUAUCUUACAAGUAAUCAGGCAAUUGAAGCGUUGAUUUUUAUUUCUUGUUUGCACUUCAUUCGACGCGGUGGUACUUUGUUCUAAUUCCUCACAGCAUCCUGCAGGAAAGUUGGUGUUGAAACCAUCUUGGUUGAAAGUUGCAUGUUGGUGAGACAGCUCGGAAAUUGUCUGUUAAAGCGUGCAGUUUCUGGCACGAAGUGUUUUAGAAUUUAUAAUGAAGCUGCACUCCUGUCCUUGCAGUGUCAGCCGACCCAGACUUUCAGCCCGUAGGCACUAGUACUCGUGCUCUGAAGUCGCAUGCCUGUCGAAAAAAAAGAAAACUGGCACCGUGGAUGGUAGUGCAAUGAAGCAGGCUUCCAAAUCGUGAAGCAUAUGCAGUCGGGUACGUUAGGUGUCGACCUGUUGUUAUAAUUAAUAGAGAGACCACGCCAUGUAACCUUUCGAUGCACCGUUGUUUAUCCCACAAGGUAGGCGCGCCACGAAAGGCCAUCUACAGGGUCGUAACAGCGCUGGCAUUUCUAAAUUUACUUGCUCACCUGAUAAUAUUUAUAUUGCAAAGAAAUGUACUUCAAAUACCUUGUGCAAGCCUAAACUAAUCAAGCACGUGGCUAUCAGUAAUAGUAAUGUGGCACUUUUCAGGGUUGCACUUAAUACUUCUUAAUGUUUUCUUCUAGACGGUAAUGGACUUGUGUACACGUGAAGUUGUCAAAAAAAAUGGCAUACCUUGCUUGAAGGAGUCACGGGAAGCAAUUUUCUUCCAAACAUUCUAAGCCAGUAAAAGCCACCACUACCAUUGCUUUAGAUAGAUUUUAUACAUUGUCUCCAUAAUGAGGCAGUUAUCGCUGGCCAAACUUUAUGCAGAUGGUUGUUUGUGCUUCCAUGUGCUGAAAUACUUGUGCACGAUGUCACGAUCCAUGUUACGGUAUUUGCAUGUUGUGUCCUCAACAUGCGGUGCAUUUCAACGUAAAAUCUACCAGCACUUGCAUUGGGGCCAAACAUUGUGGGCUUGCAUGUGCUUCUGCUCACAGGCUGCAUCUUCUCUCUCUCCCCCCCCCCCCCACACACACACACACAACUUGCAAUGUAUAACCUCCAUGGAAAAAAAUUUGUGUGCCACUGACGCAAGCGUGCUAAAGCAUGUUCUUGGUGUCCAAAAUCUUUAUCAUUUUCACAUUUUUGGAAAAGCCCCUGGCGUCAUGUUUCUCUGCUGUUGUGCGAUGUAGGCGGUCCACCGCCGCUGCUUCAUUACUCGUAAAGCGUUGUGUACGUUUGUCUGUUGCGUGUGCUUCGAGGUUACUAUUUUUGUAGAGUUGAAAGACGACGCAGGCUGUUUCAUGAAGGAAGUCUUGUUUAGGAGAUGUAUACAUGCACAGGUUGCACUGAAAGGUUGUGGAAAUAAAGCCACUUAUUUCUA